rnacentral:lncRNA from 1 species
AAAGAAUUAUACAAACAACAAACAAGGGACCAAUCAGAGCGACAAUAGAAGCCUGUGGCAGUUUUAGUCUUUAUUUACAAAUACCGUCCAAAACAAAACAAAAACAAACAAACAUGUUGACAGAAAUAUAAAAGUCCAACUGGGAGAUUCCCCAGCGGAGGAGCUGAUUUAUUCCCAGACAGCGUCCUGGAGGCAGCUCUUCACCCGCGUCCGCCCGCUUUCAGCACAUGAUCUGCAGCCUGAGUGCGACCUGACCCGGCACAGCUCAGCUGCAGCGCCAGCACCGUGUUCUGCUCAAUCCCAGUCGCUGUGAAGCCGCCAGCGAUGUGUUUGCACUGGUCUGAGGUGAACUGGGAGCCAGUCGGAGCCACAGUGGAGAGAUCUACUCAGUGUCUGGAUACACAUUUAUUCCUUUUGUGGACGUGGCGCGUGAUUCAGAGACUGGUACAACUCAUCCCACACUGGAAUCCUGAGCCAAGAACUGCCUCUGCCAUGGCAGCGCAUCAGGUACCACAGAGGAGCACCACACAUCUAAUUUCCUGCAAAAUCUUACUGCAACAAAAGCCUUGUGGAGCGUCGGUUCUCACAGCAUCGGGGCAAUCGGUUCAAGUCACUGGCACAAAUACAAUCUUUCAUCUUGUUCGGGAGCAGGCUUUUGAAUUAGCUGCGUGGCGUGACUCCCUGUCAGGCUGGCAGGCGCAGAGCUCAUGUUUUAGAAAGUGGGAUGGGAGAGGCAAGAGAUGACACGAUCAAUUACAUCAGCAAAAAGCUUGCAGAAGGUGUUAAAAUGUGCUUUUGUGAGUGCUACACCUGGAUGAAGGCAGCCGAGCGAGGCUGUGGAGCUGUCAGCACCAUGGACAGCACCUCGCACGCUUCGCUACAGCUGCACAUCUGAUUACUGUGAUAUGUUUCAUCUAUUACUGAGCAGUAAACUCAAGAAUAAAAAAGGUUUAAUUAAAGAAAUGAAUGUUAAA